rnacentral:rRNA from 1 species
UGGGGAAUAUUGCACAAUGGGCGGAAGCCUGAUGCAGCAACGCCGCGUGCGGGAUGACGGCCUUCGGGUUGUAAACCGCUUUCGCCUGUGACGAAGCGUGAGUGACGGUAAUGGGUAAAGAAGCACCGGCUAACUACGUUCCAGCAGCCGCGGUGAUACGUAGGGUGUGAGCGUUGUCCGGAUGUAUUGGGCGUAAAGGGCUCGUAGGUGGUUGAUCGCGUCGGAAGUGUAAUCUUGGGGCUUAACCCUGAGCGUGCUUUCGAUACGGGUUGACUUGAGGAAGGUAGGGGAGAAUGGAAUUCCUGGUGGUGCCGUGGAAUGCGCAGAUAUCAGGAGGAACACCAGUGGCGAAGGCGGUUCUCUGGGCCUUUCCUGACGCUGAGGAGCGAAAGCGUGGGGAGCGAACAGG